rnacentral:pre_miRNA from 1 species
GAUUUCAAUUAAAAAAGUCAUCAAUAACAAAGUGGUAUAACUCAUCAAGAUCUAUAACUUUUAUUUGGGUCAUUUCUUCAUCCGACAAAGCGAAUUAUAACAUUGUUCACAAAAUAUACAUAUCUCUUAUAUAGUUUAUAAACUAUAAGAGAGAGAUGUAAAUUUUGUAAAUAAUGUUACUAUUACUUUGUCGGAUGAAGAAAUGACCAAAAUAAAAGUUAUAGAUAUUGAUGAUUUAUACAACUUUGUUAUUGAUGACUUUUUCAGUUGAAAUC